GGAUCUUUCUAAAUAAGAAAACUAUUAGCUGUAUCUUUGUGUAUGACUUCUUUUUGGUUGAUCCAGAUCAGCUGGAGCUGCGGAAAUUGAAGUGGGGAGCAAGACAUGCGGUGUUUGUUAUUUUUUUGCUACAUUUUGAACAAGUAUUUUUUGUUAAAACUUAUGUUUGAAAUUUAAUUUGAAUUCUGAGAUUGUAAUUUGAGAGUUGAGACUAUUUGUUAUACAAAUUAUUAAUGCUUUUUGGUUACUAAUAUUUUUUAAUAUUUCAAUUCAUUGUAGUAUUUAGUUAUUAAUCAAGUAUUUUAAUAUUAAUUUAAUUGCCGCUAUAAGCUUUAUUAAUCAAUCAUUUAGUAUAUUUUUGCGGCAAUAAUUAAUUGUAGCGGCAUUUAUAAUAGUUGUUAUUGUAUAUUAUUUAGCGGCAUUUAUAAUAGUUGUUAUUGCAUACUAUUUAGCGGCAUUUAUAAUAGUUGUUAUUGCAUACUAUUUAGCGGCAUUUAUAAUAGUCGUUAUUGUAUAAUAGUUAGCGGCAUUUAUUUGGAUUUUUACCAACCGCCGGAAUAAAUGCCGCUAAAACUUCUAGCUACCCUGCCAAUAGCGGCAAUUGUUAAAAUUACCACAAAGGAUUUUAGCGGCAAUUGUAAUUGCCGCUAAUUUAAAAAAUAAUCGCCGCUAAAACAUAGUUUUGUUGUAGUGAAGGUCUCCGUGCUUCCAUAAGCAUAUAUACCAGCACAACUAUAUAUAUAUAUAUAUAUAUAUAUAUAUAUACUGUGGCUAGUAUACUAUUAUGAGUAUUGGAGCCCUCGUACUCAUAAGUUGUUUUCGAUGAUGGAGCUUCCGAAUCGACGAUUCACUCCGUUAAAUAUGAUCUAGAGUUUUGAAACUUCUAGAAAAUAAAUUUCGUAAAUUUUUGAAAUCAUAAAAAAGUCCAUCAAGUGGGCAUAAAAUGAACGGUCAAAAUCGAACGACGUUCUAAAAAAGGAUGAUCGGAUUAUUCAAUUCAAGAUCGGAGUUAUUGAUCUUUAUCUAUAUACUGAAUAGAAUUUUCUAUCAAAAAUUCAACAAAUUUCGAUUUUUUUACACCGUUAAACUAGCAAGUAUUCUAUACCGGCCGUUAAAAAUUGUCAAAUUUGUAAUAUCUUGAUCGUAAGGUAAAUGAUGUCGAAAAAUUAUGAAAUUUGAUUUCUGGAAGUUUUAAAUGCUCUAGAUAACGUUUAACGGUGUGGAUCGUCGUUUCGAAAGCUCUAUCAUCGAAAACAACUUAUGAGUACGAGGGCGAUCAUACUCAUAAGAGUAUAGUAGCCGGACU
rnacentral:lncRNA from 1 species